rnacentral:rRNA from 2 species
UCCACCUGUUCCCAUUCCGAACACAGAAGUUAAGCUCACUCGUGCCCAAGAUAGUUCGCUGGAAACGGCGCGUGAAAAUAGGUAGUCGCCGACU